GACGCACGCUGGCGGCGUGCUUAACACAUGCCAGUCGAACGGAAAGGCCCUGCUUUUGUGGGGUGCUCGAGUGGCGAACGGGUGAGUAACACGUGAGUAACCUGCCCUUGACUUUGGGAUAACUUCAGGAAACUGGGGCUAAUACCGGAUAGGAGCUCCUGCUGCAUGGUGGGGGUUGGAAAGUUUCGGCGGUUGGGGAUGGACUCGCGGCUUAUCAGCUUGUUGGUGGGGUAGUGGCUUACCAAGGCUUUGACGGGUAGCCGGCCUGAGAGGGUGACCGGCCACAUUGGGACUGAGAUACGCCCCAGACUCCUACGGGAGGCAGCAGUGGGGAAUAUUGCACAAUGGGCGGAAGCCUGAUGCAGCAACGCCGCGUGCGGGAUGACGGCCUGCGGGUUGUAAACCGCUUUCGCCUGUGACGAAGCGUGAGUGACGGUAAUGGGUAAAGAAGCACCGGCUAACUACGUG
rnacentral:rRNA from 1 species